UACGUAGGGGGCAAGCGUUGUCCGGAUUUAUUGGGCGUAAAGAGCUCGUAGGCGGCUCAGUAAGUCAGGUGUGAAAACUCCAGGCUCAACCUGGAGACGCCACCUGAUACUGCUGUGGCUAGAGUCCGGUAGGGGAGCAUGGAAUUCCUGGUGUAGCGGUGAAAUGCGCAGAUAUCAGGAGGAACACCAAUGGCGAAGGCAGCUCGCUGGGACGGUACUGACGCUGAGACGCGAAAGCGUGGGGAGCAAACAGG
rnacentral:rRNA from 1 species